rnacentral:rRNA from 1 species
UACGAAGGGGGCUAGCGUUGCUCGGAAUCACUGGGCGUAAAGGGUGCGUAGGCGGGUCUUUAAGUCAGGGGUGAAAUCCUGGAGCUCAACUCCAGAACUGCCUUUGAUACUGAGGAUCUUGAGUCCGGGAGAGGUGAGUGGAACUGCGAGUGUAGAGGUGAAAUUCGUAGAUAUUAGGAAGAACACCAGUGGCGAAGGCGGCUCACUGGUCCGGUACUGACGCUGAGGUGCGAAAGCGUGGGGAGCAAACAGG